GAUGAACGCUAGCGGCAGGCCUAACACAUGCAAGUCGAGGGAGAAGCCCUUUCGGGGGCAGAAACCGGCGCACGGGUGCGUAACGCGUAUGCAACCUACCUUUCACACGGGGAUAGCGCGAAGACAUUUGGAUUAAUACCCCAUAAUAUUAUUAGAUGGCAUAAUUUGAUAAUUAAAACUGCGAUGGUGAAUGAUGGGCAUGCAUCCUAUUAGCUAGUUGGAGUGGUAACGGCAAUCCAAGGCUACGAUAGGUAGGGGUCCUGAGAGGGAGACACCCCAGAACGGAACCGAGGCAGGGACCAGUCUCCUACGGGAGGGAGGAGUGAGGAAUAUUGAGCAAUGGUGGCAAGACUGAACCAGCCACGCCGCGGGCAGGAAGAAUGCCUUAUGGGUUGUAAACUGCUUGUAUAGGAGAAGAAUAAGGCGUACGUGUACGUUGAUGACGGUACCAAAUGAAUAAGCAGCGGCUAACUCCGUG
rnacentral:rRNA from 1 species